rnacentral:piRNA from 1 species
UUACCGCAGUGAUUGUUGCUC